CCUAUUCUUUCUGAGGGGACUGGGGGUAGAGGAGAACUUUGUUCAGGGCAGGUCCUAUUCUUUCUGAGGGUAGAGGAGAUCCUUGUUCAGGGCAGGUCCUAUUCUUUCUGAGGGGACUGGGGGUAGAGGAGAACUUUGUUCAGGGCAGGUCCUAUUCUUUCUGAGGGUAGAGGAGAUCCUUGUUCAGGGCAGGUCCUAUUCUUUCUGAGGGGACUGGGGGUAGAGGAGAUCCUUGUUAAACCAGGUCCUAUUCUUU